AAAAGUCGUAACAAGGUUUCCGUAGGUGAACCUGCGGAAGGAUCAUUAUUGUAUAAAUGGGGGGUGCAAAGGCUGUCGCUGACCUUCACAGAGGGUUGUGCACGCCCGAGUGCUCUCAAUAUAUAUACAUCUAUCUCACCCCUUUGUGCAUCAUUGCGUGGGUUCCCCCUCCUAAGAAAAGGGGGGCUUGCGUUAUUUUUUCACAUAUAACUCAGUAUCAGUAUAGAAUGUGCUUUAUUGUGAUUGUACACAAUUAAUACAACUUUCAACAACGGAUCUCUUGGCUCUCGCAUCGAUGAAGAACGCAGCGAAAUGCGAUACGUAAUGUGAAUUGCAGAAUUCAGUGAAUCAUCGAAUCUUUGAACGCACCUUGCGCCCCUUGGCAUUCCGAGGGGCACACCCGUUUGAGUGUCGUGAUAAUUCUCAAAAGCCCUUUUAUUUUCAAAAGGGUUUUUUGGACUUGGAGGUUUUAAUGCUUGCCUUUAAAAAGGUUGAGCUCCUCUUAAAUGAAUUAGUGGGAAUCUGUUUUGCUAAUCCUUAAUAUGAUAAGAUGUUUCAAUAUUUUUGGAUUUGGUGUGACAAACCUGCUUCUAACUGUGAUAAUGAUGGUGUUUCUGGUCACUGCUACUUUAAUGCUAGUGGAAGGCUAGACCCACAAUGAAAAAACCUUUGACCUCAAAUCGGGUGAGACUACCCGCUGAACUUAAGCAUAUCAAUAAGCGGAGGA
rnacentral:rRNA from 1 species